AGACCCAUAAAUUCUGGAUGAAUUUUGUCUUUGACAAAGAUCUGCAUGCAAUAUUUGACCUAGUUAAGUCAUUUUUUGCUCAAUGAUGAUAAAUUCGCUUUGUUGAACAGUUGCGUGGAGUUUUCGUCACAAGCCUUGAAUCACCACCACCACCAUCUCUUAUCAAUCCCUCUGUCCGUCUCUCUCCACCUUUAUCUCUUCCUUCCUCUCUCUCUUUCCUGAAGGUUGCUCACAGGCUUGUUAUGAAAACUCCUUUGCUCAAACACUGUGAAUGACUUUUAUAGCUAUGAGAUCUGAGGGCAUCAGGAAAUCAACUGCUAUGGGACAAGAGGUUAUUAUGAGCAAAGACUGGGUAUUUGAGCUAAAGAACCGAAGAGGAAGAUGUGAUUGUAUCAGUUCUGCAAGGAUUUCACAUUGCAAUUGCAGGUUACAAGGGUUAUAACCAAGCAUUGGUGCAACUGUGUAUGAGCUAUGCAGUAUUUUCCGUUUUAUUUGUGUUUGUGUUUCUUAAUACCAGCAAAUUUGCAUCUAAAAAAAAAGAUAAUAAGGGGAUGUAUAAGGUGUCAUCGAGCUAAAGUUAUGAGCUUAUGGCAGCAGGACCAUCAAAAGAAAGAUUGUACUCGUGUUUGCAUUGGUAGUGUUUAAGAAAGUCCACUUGCUUUUCUAUUAAUUAACCAUAAAACAAACAUGCAAAUGUGAUGUUUGGCUGGUAAGCAAGGGCUCAAAAAUAAACGUGUGAUCUAGGGCCUUGUGUUUGAUG